rfam:HIV-1 isolate BREPMPOL179 from Brazil pol protein (pol) gene, partial cds.
GUAGGUUCAGUGUUGAUAGGACCUACGCCUGUCAAYGUAAUUGGAAGAAAUAUAAUGACUCAGCUUGGUUGUACUUUAAAUUUUCCCAUUAGUCCUAUUGARACUGUACCAGU